rnacentral:rRNA from 1 species
CAAUAGCGUAUAUUAAAGUUGUUGCGGUUAAAAAGCUCGUAGUUGGAUUUCUGCUGAGAACGACCGGUCCGCCCUUUGGGUGUGUAUCUGGCUCUUUCUUGGCAUCUUCUUGGUGAACGUUGCUGCACUUGACUGUGUGGAGCGCUACCCAGGACUUUUACUUUGAGGAAAUUAGAGUGUUUCAAGCAGGCAUACGCCUUGAAUACAUUAGCAUGGAAUAAUAAGAUAGGACCUCGGUUCUAUUUUGUUGGUUUCUAGAGCUGAGGUAAUGAUUAAUAGGGAUAGUUGGGGGCAUUCGUAUUUGACUGUCAGAGGUGAAAUUCUUAGAUUCGUUGAGGACCAACCACUGCGAAAGCAUUUGUCAAGGAUGUCUCCAUUAA